rnacentral:lncRNA from 1 species
CACCAGUGGUGCAAGUGUAUUUUUUAAUCAAGCAAAUUCCGAGAGCUAACCUAUUCAUAUAGUUGAAACAUAGGGGAUCUGGACAAAUUUGGACAGGAUGCUAAUUUUAGCCCAUUUGCCAUUGCUGCUUCUUUUGGGAAACCAAGAUUCAGUAACCUGUAUCGACCUGGAGAAACAGCAUGAAGUCAUCUAUGCAGUAGUUGGAGAACCUCUAGUAUUGAACUGCACCUACAACUGCUCAUCUGGAUUUGUCCGUGGCCACUGGAUCAAAGUCUCAGACUGUCCUCAUUGUCCUAGGCCAAGGGAAACAAAAAAUGUCACAAAGAAUGGUGACCUCUGCACACUACCAUUGUAUUUUCCACAUCUGUCCACGGAAGAUUUUCGGUACAACUAUACCUGCUUUUCUGAAGAUCACGAAAGCAAACAUUUCUCACGCAAGAUAGAGGUUUUGGUAUCACUGCAGGCACAAGGUCGACGUAGUGCCCCGGCCACAACGGUCACUACUGAUGUAUCGGUGACAGCGUUGAGUAACCACGAAGACUCAAUAAUAGAUAAUGAGGAAUUCCCAGUUGUCAAAGUGUUGGCAACAGUGACAGUUAUUGUGGCUGCUGUGUUGACAGCCGUGGCUGUCUACUUAUGUAUGAGCCGCAAUCGAUAUUGCAAAGGAAAACCUGCUGUUAUCUGUACAGGCACAACAUCAAGAGAAGGAUCUAGUGUUGGAAGGCUGACAACAGGUGCAUGCUUAACUAAUUGUGAGAGGGUGGCACUGAGAAUAACUCCAGCUGGUAAGCUAAUGGAAUGUACCAUUCAUUUCAGUUGCCAAGCUGGGUGUAUUCUAAGAAAAUCUACUGUACAAAACAUUGCAUUUCCUGUUUUGACCCAGAUUGCCAGAGUGAUCAUGAGGUUCCUUAUGCUGACAUCAUGAUUACUAUGCGAGGGGCCAGCACACCUGAACUCACACAGAUCUCCUACCUAGCACCGGGGGACCAUAGAGAGGUGAGGAUUUGAAACUAUGGCUUUGUGAGUUCUGUGUGAAAUGGAAAGCGCUCUACAAAUAAAAUGUAUUAUCUAUUAUUAUUAUUAUUAUUAUAACUUCUACAACACCACACCGCAUUAUUUUACGUCAACACCACCAUACGUCACCAUAUGUGACCAUAUUACUGACAUUCACCAUAUUCAACGUAAUACGUCAGUGGAGGUUGUGUAAUGGCUAUUAUUGGCUAAUGCAGCCACAGUCACAGGUUGAGACUUUAUUUGAAUCUCACCUGAAAUGGAAUCCUGUGCGUUUCAUGUCCCCCAUGCAGAGGUGGAGAGAAGAGGCAGGCCCUGAAGCUAGGUCCCACCUGCAGGCCUCCCGCUCAGCUGAUAGACUGCAUGUCCAGCCCCGAGAGGUCUCCAGGAAGAUGAGCACAAACUCUGAGUACGCUGUCAUCACCUACUCUUAAUCUGUGGGGCUGGAGAUGAUAAAAGAGGGAAUAAGAGAGAGCAAGUGAGAAAUGACUGUCACUGUACUCAUAUUAUUAAUCCUUGGCUGUUUUGUUUGCAUGUUUUUAACUGUAGCAAGUUGUUUCUAUAACUUUAUAAAACAAUUAACUGUGAGUAUCAUCC